rnacentral:rRNA from 1 species
UACGGAGGGUGCAAGCGUUAUCCGGAUUCACUGGGUUUAAAGGGUGCGUAGGCGGGUGUGUAAGUCCGUGGUGAAAUCUCUGAGCUUAACUCGGAAACUGCCAUGGGUACUGCAUAUCUUGAAUGUUGUGGAGGUAAGCAGAAUAUGUCAUGUAGCGGUGAAAUGCUUAGAGAUGACAUAGAAUACCUAUUGCGAAGGCAGCUUACUACGCAGAUAUUGACGCUCAUGCACGAAAGCGUGGGGAUCAAACAGG